GGCUACAUCACGUUGAAACACUGGUUCCUGUAUGAUUACCAAAGUUAAGCAACAUUGAACCUGGUCAGUACCCAGAUGGGUGACAGCUUGGAAAUACCAGGUGCUGCAAG